rnacentral:piRNA from 1 species
UGCAAAGUACCUACACAUCUUCAGAUGG